GAUCUCAUAAUAUAAUAGGUUAUUAUCCUGCACUUUUAAUGCAGUUAUCAGAGUUCGAGUCUCUGUGGGAUCA
rnacentral:tRNA from 1 species